AGGAUAAACGCUGGCGGCGUGCCUAACACAUGCAAGUCGAACGCCCUUUAGCUUCGCAAGGAGUGGGAGGGAGUGGCGGACGGGUGAGGAACACGUGGGUGACCUACCUUUCAGUGAGGAAUACCGGCGAGAAAUCGCCGACAAGACCGCAUACGGUUGCUGCAUCAGCGCAGCAACGAAAGCUUCACGAGAGUGAGGCGCUGGAAGAUGGGCCUGCGGCCGAUUAGCUAGCUGGUGGGGUAACGGCCUACCAGGGCGACGAUCGGUA
rnacentral:rRNA from 1 species